CCCAGACCGUGCGUGCUCCGCUCCGCCCUCACGCACCUCACCGCGGCCACCUCCUCCCACCCACCGCCGCCGGCGGCGCCAUGCAGGUCGGCGGCGAGGAGUUCGCGGUCGGCGUGGUGAUCUCCGCGAAGACCACCCUCGGGGAGGAGUUCGAGGGCUAGAUCGUCUCCUUCGACCGCCCGAGCAACCUCCUCGUCAUCCAGGAGGGCAUGGGCAGGGCGGAGAGGGGCGAGCGGCGGAACGUGAGGGUGCUCAAGGCCAACUACAUCCAGGAGUUCUCCCUCGUCGGCGAGUACGACGACCCGCUCUACCCGGCUAGCUGUGUGCUCGACCUCGCCGCCAUCCACGCCAGGGAGGAGGCCACCCUCAGUCAAGCAAGAUUGAAGUUCCAAUUGGGCCUCUUCCCUGGGCGCCACUCUCCCUCUGCUCCUUCGACCCAAGUGCCGACAAAAUGGAGCUCGCCAAGGCACACUUCAUGGACGAGGAGGACCACCCACGACGAUGAACAUGUGUGACCUCACCCCCGAGCCUGACGAGCUCGACAACAACAACAUCGUCAACCUUGAUCUCGAUGACAAGGUUGAUCUCUAGCUUAGUGCCGACACCGAAGAGCAAGCCCGCCUUCUCCAGAGUUUGCAAAGGAGCUUUACGUUCAGGGCAUGGUUGUUUGCACAGAGUGGCGGAAACUACUUUGAUCCUUUGGAAGAUAGUUCUUCAUAAUGUGAUAGUGUAUAGGCCUUCUUUCUGAGGACCUACUGCUCAACUACUGCACUCCUUGGCUGCUAUCGACCAAAAAUUUUACAAAUCUGUCUACAUGUUUUGUUUCUAUAUAUUUACAAAUAUCCUAUCAA